rnacentral:tRNA from 1 species
GGAGCGGUAGUUCAGUUGGUUAGAAUACCGCCUGUCACGCCGGGGGUCGCGGGUUCGAGUCCCGUCCGCUCCGCCA